rnacentral:rRNA from 1 species
GACGAACGCUGGCGGCGUGCUUAACACAUGCAAGUCGAACGGAAAGGCCCUGCUUUUGUGGGGUGCUCGAGUGGCGAACGGUUGAGUAACACGUGAGUAACCUGCCCUUGACUUUGGGAUAACUUCAGGAAACUGGGGCUAAUACCGGAUAGGAGCUCCUGCUGCAUGGUGGGGGUUGGAAAGUUUCGGCGGUUGGGGAUGGACUCGCGGCUUAUCAGCUUGUUGGUGGGGUAGUGGCUUACCAAGGCUUUGACGGGUAGCCGGCCUGAGAGGGUGACCGGCCACAUUGGGACUGAGAUACGGCCCAGACUCCUACGGGAGGCAGAAGUGGGGAAUAGUGAACAAUGGGCGGAAGCCUGAUGCAGCAACGCCGAGUGCGGGAUGACGGCCUUCGGGUUGUAAACCGCUUUCGCCUGUGACGAAGCGUGAGUGACGGUAAUAGGUAAAGAAGCACCGGCUAACUACGUG